AUGCCGCCGGAGAAGGCGCGGCUCGUCGACAUCAUGUCACUGCUGCUCCUGCGCAGGCGGGUCACCAGCUGCAACACCUUGGUCGACUCCGGGGACCAGGACAGAGUCCUAGAUAACACGCCAGGCGACCUGCUCGUCGCACUCACCCAGCUGAUCCAGAAGGCCCUCGCCGCUGCCUACUACCCAGCCAAGUGGUUCGGCGCCGUCGUCGAGUUUCUCCUCAACUUCUUCGCGGUCAACGGCGGCUUAUUUGGGAUCAUAGGGAGCACCAUGAGAUAAUUAUUCGUCACUGUCCAUAUCAAAUCUUGA
rnacentral:rRNA from 1 species